rnacentral:sRNA from 1 species
ACGGGCUCCGAUCCAGCGAGCGCUGCGUCCUCGAGUCCCUGCGCCCGUGCGUCCGUGCGUCCGUCUGCGACCCGAGGCCUCCGCUGCGCGGAUUUUCUGGGGAGGCCCAGUGGAAUCACCAGCCUCACCCCACCCAGCCUCUCCGAUAUACUUCCUGGGUGGCGACAAAGCACAGGAUGUGGUCUCUACCAUGAUUCCUGAGCAUGCAUGCACCCCUUCUCCUGCCAAUAGAGGGGAGGAAGUCGGAGGGGUGUCUUUAUGCCUAUAAACUUGCCUUGGAAUCCAGCCUCAUUCCCUUUCCUCCUGGAGUUGAGAAGCCCCCACAGAGACUGGCUAUGGAGGAGUGACUGUCUGUAGGUUCCUUGGAUGUCCUGCCUAUCUGCAAAAUGAGAAUGAGAUUGAUACCUUCAUGAGGCUGUAAGAUGGCAGAUAUGAAAGUGCUGUGUUAUCUCAAAAGGGUGUGGUGCUUGAGAAGGCAGGUGACCUGAGCCUCAAGUUCCUCUUCUGAAAAAUCCCUGUCCUGGUGGUCCUUAAAUAAUAGCAAUAAAAUGGUAACCACUAUUACCUCUCGAACCCUUAAAUUUGCCAGGCCCCGGCUGAAGCCUUGCUAUGUUAGACGCUGUUAUUAAUGCCUAUUUUGCAGACAUGGAAACUCCAGCCCUUAACAGUUUAAGGAAGAAAUAAUAAUGACAAAUGCUUAUAAAAUAUAGUGCUUCCUGUGUGCCAGGUCUUCUUCUAAGCUCUAGACUUGUCUUAAUUUUUUUUAUCCUCAUCAUAACUCCUAUGAGGGAGGUGCUAUUUUUAUCCCAUUAUUUUUUUAAAAAAAAUAUGAAACAGGCACAGAGAGGCUCAAUACUUGCACAACACCACACAGCUACUAAAUAUCACCCUCAGGCUUCAAUCUCAGGCA